GCCCGGAUAGCUCAGUCGGUAGAGCAGGGGAUUGAAAAUCCCCGUGUCCUUGGUUCGAUUCCGCUGCCGGGCACGA
rnacentral:tRNA from 1 species